rnacentral:tRNA from 1 species
GAAGGUAUAGCUCAGUGUUAGAGUGCAUGCCUAGCAUGCACAAGGUCCUGGGUUCAAUCCCCAGUACUUCUG